rnacentral:tRNA from 1 species
GCCGGGGUAGCUCAGUGGUAGAGCGGAAGCCUGAAGAGCUUCGCGUCGUUGGUUCAAUUCCGAUCCCCGGCACCA